rnacentral:lncRNA from 1 species
AAAAAAGUAAACCAUUAUAGGUCAAUGUACGGCCUUCAACACGGAGCCUUGGCUCACACCGAACAACAAGCUAUAAAGGGCCCCAAAAUUACUAGUGUAAAACCAUUCAAACGGGAAAAACAACGGUCUAAUCUAUAUAAAAUAAAAAAAACGAGAAACGAGAAACACGUAUAAAUUACAUAAACAAACUACAACUACUGUACAUCAAAUUCCUGACUUAGGAC